rnacentral:tRNA from 1 species
UGGCUCAGACGGUAAAGAAUCUGCCUGCAAUGCAGGAAACCCAGGUUCGAUUCCUGG